UACGUAGGGUGCGAGCGUUGUCCGGAAUUAUUGGGCGUAAAGAGCUCGUAGGCGGUGUGUCACGUCGUUCGUGAAAACCUGCAGCUUAACUGUGGGCGUGCGGUCGAUACGGGCAUCACUGGAGUUCGGCAGGGGAGACUGGAAUUCCUGGUGUAGCGGUGAAAUGCGCAGAUAUCAGGAAGAACACCGGUGGCGAAGGCGGAUCUCUGGGCCGAUACUGACGCUGAGGAGCGAAAGCGUGGGGAGCGAACAGG
rnacentral:rRNA from 1 species